rnacentral:rRNA from 1 species
AUGCAUGUCUAAGUGGAGUAUUAUAUAGCGAAACUGCGAACGGCUCAUUACAACAGAUAUAAUUUACUAGUUCUUGUUUCUAUAUGGAUAACUGCGGUAAUUCUGGAGCCAACACAUGCAUCAAGCCUUGGCCUUCGGGUUAGGGUGCAAUUAUUGGAGCAAAACCAGUCUCGUACUGUUUGCUAACUCAGGAUAAUUCUGCAUAUCGCAUGGUCUUGUACCGGCGAAGUUUCUUUCAAGUAUCUGCUUUAUCAACUAUCGUUGGUAGUUUAUUGGUCUACCAUGGUGUUGACGGGUAACGGAGAAUCAGGGUUUGACUCCGGAGAGGGAGCCUUAGAAACGGCUACCAUGUCUAAGGAUAGCAGCAGGCGCGAAAAUUACCCAAUAUCAAAACGAUGAGGUAGUGACGAGAAAUAACAAGAUCGUUCUCUAUGAGAUCGAUUAUUGGAAUGAGUACAAUCCAGACAUUUUAACGAGUACCUACGAGAGGGCAAGUCUGGUGCCAGCAGCCGCGGUAAUUCCAGCUCUCGUAAUGUAUAGAAUUAUUGUUGCGAUUAAAAAGUUCGUAGUUGGAUUGCAACGCAGGUAUGGGUCCACCUUCUGGGUGCGUACUCAAUGUCUGCAUUUUGCAUGUUUUUGUGGCGUCGCUUCGGUGGCGUUCAUGAUGCAUGCAGGAUUACUUUGAACGGCUCAAGUGCUUAAAGCAAGUCUUAUGACUGAAUACCGGUGCAUGGAAUAAUGGAACAAGGUUGUGGCUGAGUUUUAUUGGUUUUGUCGGCUAAAACAAUGGUUAACAGGAACAGCCGGGGGCAUUCGUAUCGCUGCGCGAGAGGUGAAAUUCGUGGACCGUAGCGAGACGUCCUACAGCGAAGGCAUUUGCCAAGAGUGUUUUCAUUAAUCAAGAACGAAAGUCAGAGGUUCGAAGGCGAUUAGAUACCGCUCUAGUUCUGACCGUAAACGAUGCCAACUGUCGAUCCGCUUGUGGAUUCUAUUCAUGAGCGGGGAGAUUUCCGGAAACGAAAGUUUUUCGGUUUCGGGGGAAGUAUGGUUGCAAAGCUGAAACUUAAAGGAAUUGACGGAAGGGCACCACCAGGAGUGGAGCUUGCGGCUUAAUUUGACUCAACACGGGAAAUCUCACCCGGCCAGUACAUCGUAAGGAUUGACAGACUGACAGCUCUUUCAUGAUUCGGUGAAUGGUGGUGCAUGGCCGUUCUUAGUUCGUGGAUUGAUUUGUCUGGUUUAUUCCGAUAACGAACGAGACUUUAACUAUUAAAUAGUGCGCAUGUUGCUUCGGCUGCGUGUGAUCACUUCUUAAAGGAAUUUGUGGUUUUCAACCUCAAGAAAUUGAGCAAUAACAGGUCUGUGAUGCCCUUAGAUGUUCGGGGCCGCACGCGUGCUACAAUGGUGGUAAUAGCGUGAUUGUCCUUUUCCGACAGGAAUUGGCAAACAGUUGAGAUAUUAUUAUGGCUGGAAUUGAGUGUUGAAAUUUUCUCUCAUGAACGAGGAAUUCCAAGUAAAUGUGAGUCAUUAACUUGCAUUGAUUACGUCCCUGCCCUUUGUACACACCGCCCGUCGCUGCCCGGGACUGAGUUACUUCGAGAAAACUAGGGAUCGCUGGAGUUCGAUGUUUCGGCAUUGUCUUUGGUGAGAACUAGUUUAAUCGCAGUGGCUUGAACCGGGCAAAAGUCGUAACAAGGUAGCCGUAGGUGAA